rnacentral:rRNA from 2 species
UGGGGAAUAUUGCACAAUGGGGGAAACCCUGAUGCAGCGACGCCGCGUGAGCGAAGAAGUAUUUCGGUAUGUAAAGCUCUAUCAGCAGGGAAGAUAAUGACGGUACCUGACUAAGAAGCCCCGGCUAACUACGUGCCAGCAGCCGCGGUAAUACGUAGGGGGCAAGCGUUAUCCGGAUUUACUGGGUGUAAAGGGAGCGUAGACGGCAAGGCAAGUCUGAUGUGAAAACCCAGGGCUUAACCCUGGGACUGCAUUGGAAACUGUCUGGCUCGAGUGCCGGAGAGGUAAGCGGAAUUCCUAGUGUAGCGGUGAAAUGCGUAGAUAUUAGGAAGAACACCAGUGGCGAAGGCGGCUUACUGGACGGUAACUGACGUUGAGGCUCGAAAGCGUGGGGAGCAAACA